rnacentral:rRNA from 1 species
AUUGAUUGGUUAUUAACCAUUCCCCUUUGCAAGCAGCCGUGUUAUUUCCAGCUCCAUAGCGUAUAUUAACCUUGUUGCCGUUAAAAAGCUCGUAUUCCACACUUCGGAGCCUGAUGUUCGGUCCGACUUCCUGGUGUCGUCUUGCUCAUCGGUCGCUUACAUCCUGCCGAACUCUGAGUGUCAUUUGCUGCCCGUCAUAGCAAACCAGGACGUUUACUUUGCUCGAAUCACACUGUUCAAGAGCGAGCCUACGCCCGAACACAUUAGGAUGGAAUAAUAGAAUCGGACGCCCGCUUCCCAUUUUGUUGGUUCUCCGAGAUCCUCCUUAAUGAUUAAUAGGGAUAGUUGGGGGCUUUUGUAUUCCCACGUCAGAGUCGAAAUUCUUGCGUUGCCGGAAGACAAAGUACUGCGAAACCAUCCGCCAAGGAUGUUUUCGUUGAUCAAGAUGGAAGGAAGGGUGAUCGAAAACGAUCAGAUACCGUUGUAGUCUCUUCUGUAAACUAUGCAUGGUGGGGAUCAUCGCAGGAGUUUCAAUGACUGUGUUAGCACCCCGAAGAGAAAUCUUUAUAUGAACUUCGGGUGGGAACAUGGUUCCCCAGGCUGAACCUUUUAGGCAAUUGACGGAAGGCCACCAACCAGGUGAGGCACCUGCUGGUUUAAUUUGACUCAUCACCCGGAAAACUCCCCCUGCUCCAGACACCCUAAGGAUUGACACAAUUGAUCUGCUCUUUCUUAAUCUCGUGGUUCGCGCCGCAUUGCUCCCUUCCUGAGAUGGAUCGCACUCCAUUGACUGGAUUAAAUUCGGAAAACCAAAGAGCCCCUUGCCCCUGCUACAUAGCACAAUUUGCACCUAUGUUCACCUGCUGACUAUUUUAUAUCCACCUAUCUCCGUCUCUACUUUAGGUAAGAUCUGAAGCCCAUAAACAACUUUUGUUUACCCCUACAAACUACUAAUUUCCGGGACCACUAAACAUAAAAUCACCUCUCAUAGUAGCGACCCUUUCACCUCUCUGCAUUUUUUCGUCCCUUAUUUCACCGUGUAUGAUACUUGGUCUACCCCCUCCUC